rnacentral:rRNA from 1 species
UCAUCUUCGGGGGUAGAGCACUGUUUCGGCUAGGGGGCCAUCCCGGCUUACCAACCCGAUGCAAACUACGAAUACCGAAGAAUGUUAUCACGGGAGACACACGGCGGGUGCUAACGUCCGUCGUGAAGAGGGAAACAACCCAGACCGCCAGCUAAGGUCCCAAAGUCAUGGUUAAGUGGGAAACGAUGUGGGAAGGCACAGACAGCCAGGAUGUUGGCUUAGAAGCAGCCAUCAUUUAAAGAAAGCGUAAUAGCUCACUGGUCGAGUCGGCCUGCGCGGAAGAUGUAACGGGGCUAAACCAUGCACCGAAGCUGCGGCAGCGACGCUUAGGCGUUGUUGGGUAGGGGAGCGUUCUGUAAGCCGUUGAAGGUGUCCUGUGAGGGGUGCUGGAGGUAUCAGAAGUGCGAAUGCUGACAUAAGUAACGAUAAAGCGGGUGAAAAGCCCGCUCGCCGGAAGACCAAGGGUUCCUGUCCAACGUUAAUCGGGGCAGGGUGAGUCGACCCCUAAGGCGAGGCCGAAAGGCGUAGUCGAUGGGAAACAGGUUAAUAUUCCUGUACUUGGUGUUACUGCGAAGGGGGGACGGAGAAGGCUAUGUCAGCCGGGCGACGGUUGUCCCGGUUUAAGCAUGUAGGCGGAGGUUCCAGGUAAAUCCGGUACCUUAUUAACGCUGAGGUGUGAUGACGAGGCACUACGGUGCUGAAGUGAUAAAUGCCCUGCUUCCAGGAAAAGCCUCUAAGCAUCAGGUAACACGAAAUCGUACCCCAAACCGACACAGGUGGUCAGGUAGAGAAUACCAAGGCGCUUGAGAGAACUCGGGUGAAGGAACUAGGCAAAAUGGUGCCGUAACUUCGGGAGAAGGCACGCUGAUAUGUAGGUGAAGUCCCUGCGGACGGAGCUGAAAUCAGUCGAAGAUACCAGCUGGCUGCAACUGUUUAUUAAAAACACAGCACUGUGCAAACACGAAAGUGGACGUAUACGGUGUGACGCCUGCCCGGUGCCGGAAGGUUAAUUGAUGGGGUUAGCGGCAACGCGAAGCUCUUGAUCGAAGCCCCGGUAAACGGCGGCCGUAACUAUAACGGUCCUAAGGUAGCGAAAUUCCUUGUCGGGUAAGUUCCGACCUGCACGAAUGGCGUAAUGAUGGCCAGGCUGUCUCCACCCGAGACUCAGUGAAAUUGAACUCGCUGUGAAGAUGCAGUGUACCCGCGGCAAGACGGAAAGACCCCGUGAACCUUUACUAUAGCUUGACACUGAACACUGGUCCUUGAUGUGUAGGAUAGGUGGGAGGCUUUGAAGCGUGGACGCCAGUCUGCGUGGAGCCAACCUUGAAAUACCACCCUUUAAUGGCUGGUGUUCUAACGUAGACCCGU